CUAAGUAUGCUGUGGAAGCCUCGCUUGUUUUUGGAGGCACCUUGAGGCUACCUAGAAGGAACCAGGGGGCCAGGGAGUAGCUGUUUGUGCUGACGACCGUUUGGGAAGAGGGUUCAGGGUGGAGAAGCAGCGUUUCUGCAGUUCCUUUGAAACUGAGUUAGACCUUGCCAUUGGCCUGAGGAAACUUCCUGUUGACUGUCUCCCGGAGACACUGUGACACAUGCAAGCUCGGCAGCCAAGGCAGGGACGAUACACUUUUGGAGUAAGGCACGCUCCUUCCUCACCUCUGGACCUCCACUCUGCUCCGCCUCCCCUGACUCUGUGUCUCAGCUGCCCCAAGAGGCCCAUGGGUCCGUUCACCGUGCUCCACCUCCAAUGCCACUACCCUCUCUGAGCUGCCCGGAUGACGAGGAUGGUCCGUCAGCUGUGCGCCCGCGGCUCUUACUGGCCCCCGCACCAGAGUCCACGCUGCAGCUAGAGUGACCUUAACACACGUGUAUGUCGUGCACAUCGAGCAACUCUCUUCUCUGCAUUUAAAAGUCCUCCUGGCU